CUUGACAAGUACAAGGUCCUACACCUGGGUUGGAGCAAUUCCAGGCACAGCUACAGGUUGGGCAGAGAAGAGAUUCAGAACAGCCCUGUGGAGAAGGACUUGGGGGUGUUGGUCAAUGAGAAACUUAACAUGAGCUAGCUUCAGUGUGCGCUUGCAGCCCAGAAAGCUUCUGGCUUACCAGGGUGCUGUUCCUUAUGGUGUACACCAGUGAGGGAUGCAGGAUGUGACUCCAAGCACUGUAAGGAGGCAGCUGGAGAGCAGGAACCCAGUGCAGCACUGCUCUCAAUCUAAAUCAACAAGGGAGUAUGCAUUACAUAAGAGAGGUCCAGCAGAAAUUGUAAUGACUGCUUGAAUUUCACCUAGAAGAGUCAAGAACAAACUGGAACAUGUAAUCAUCAGCAGGCAACAGAAUUUGGUUUCAAGUAAAGGAAAAGUAAGUCCUGGUCUGUCAUGUGGAGUUAUUUUCUUCUCUAUGCAAAUACACAUGAAGGUGUGAUGGUGAGAUGUAUUAAAUAUUCUAUUGAUUUCUCCUGGUGGGGUAUUAGACUCAGUUCAAAAGAUAAAAUUAAGGAAGAAAUGUUUCCAGAAUCUGAACCUGGAUUUCAUUAAAACGUGUGGUCAUUUCUCUGUAAAAUACAUCUACUACAAUGUUCCAGAAAUUUUAGACACACAAUAGAGUAAUAAACUGCUUUUAUAACUUGGGUAAUACUCUGCCAUAGAUUCUUGAUUUCCCCCCUACUGUUUGUAUGAAAUUACCUCAGUACAGAAAUGUUUGUGUGCUGUAAGGGAGGAAUAAAUGGGUUAUCAUUGCAAUAAGUGGAAAUCUUAAAAAUUGUGUAUGAGAUGUGUUUUAUAGAGAGGACAACCAACAUGAGAAGUUGGUCAGCCUGUGAUUCACUGCAGUCAUGUCUGCAGCAUGGGCCCCUGCCUUUGUGUCCUUGUAUCUAUGUUCCUGGUUUUCCUUCACUGGGGCAGCUCACUAUUGGAAGCAGCAGUGGGAAACCCAGUAUGAAGGUUACUUUUGUCACUGGUGCUUUUCCCAGUUGCAGGUGUUGCUGGCAACCAUUAAGACAAAUCCCUUCCCAGGCUGCUUCCUGGAUUAAUGUGAUCCCAUUCUUGAACACAACACAAAACUCUGUGAAAGGACUCCCUGGUUAUGCUUCCCUUCAGCUUACCAUACACCUCUAAAAGUUUCUAGUCUGUGGCAUACACAGUUCCUAUUGAAAACAAUGGAUGGAUAAAGAUGCAGUCCGCACACCCAGAACAGAUAUUUCCUUCUCUGUUUUCUGCCCCAGAGUGAUGGAUCUUAACACAAAGAAUCUCCUAAUGUCUGUGGCAUUUCAUACUGAUUUCUUAAUGAUAACAGAACUGUUGAUAAAUAAAUCCUCUCUGGUUAGCCACAGUAAGAGGCGUAUUUUGUUUGGCAUUGUUCUGGGGAUCAUAAAGCCCCAAAGAAGGUUUAGGAGAGCAGGCAUAUCCUUCAUAACAAAGGUUGAUGUUGUGAAAGCCACAUGUCCUGCCUCCAGAAGCAUCAUUAUAAAGAACUGAGUGAAACUUCUCUCUAAAAUAAGUAGUUCCAGGUGGAGAGCCUUGUCAAGCACAAAGCCAAGCUUCAGCACUCCGAGGCAGCUCAGCUACGUCACUGAAAUAUCUUUCAUGGCUUAACAUGCAGCUCUCUUGGCUGAGCUCGUCAUGAAGAGCUCUCCACAGACUUAUUAUAAUGGAACAGAUUGCUGUGAGCAGUGCCCUUUGUGUUCACUAGACAUGUAAGAAAGUGCAGCACUCCAGAAGAUAAGUGUCUCCCAGAAUUGCUGAGGGAAAAUUCUUGCAAGUGAAGAAAGA